GUGGCCCUGACUGAAAACCAGCAGUUAUACUGUAGCUGUUGGUUUCAAACAAAGGCCUCAAGGAUUGUCCCCUAUGGUCUGUUGGCUGUACUGGAAUCUCAAAGGAGAACAGCUAUUUCAUGCGGAAUAAACAACC